UAGCCGGCUCCACCGCCCGUCCCGGCCGACUCAUCCCCGCCGACUGUGCUUUCCCACUCUGACUUCGGCCUCAACUUCCAAGAAACGAGCUCCUUCCCUUCUCCCAUCUGCCACCAGAGCGGGGAGGGCCGUUCGGAGACGCCUCCGGGGCCCGGGCUGGACAUGAGCCGCGGCUGCCGGUCUUGGGACUAGGCCCCGCCAUUUUGGAUCCGCUGACAGGUUUGCCAGGAUGGUGGAUAAGAAUAUUUACAUCAUUCAAGGGGAGAUUAACAUUGUGGUGGGUGCUAUAAAACGAAAUGCCAGAUGGAGCACCCAUACACCAUUGGAUGAAGAACGGGAUCCUCUGCUGCAUAGUUUUGGUCAUCUAAAGGAGGUUUUAAACAAUACAACAGGUAAGUCUC